rnacentral:rRNA from 1 species
GAUGAACGCUGGCGGCGUGCCUAAUACAUGCAAGUCGAGCGAACAGACGAGGAGCUUGCUCCUCUGACGUUAGCGGCGGACGGGUGAGUAACACGUGGAUAACCUACCUAUAAGACUGGGAUAACUUCGGGAAACCGGAGCUAAUACCGGAUAAUAUAUUGAACCGCAUUGUUCAAUAGUGAAAGACGGUUUUGCUGUCACUUAUAGAUGGAUCCGCGCCGCAUUAGCUAGUUGGUACGGUAACGGCUUACCAAGGCGACGAUGCGUAGCCGACCUGAGAGGGUGGGCGGCCACACUGGAACUGAGACGCGGUCCAGACUCCUACGGGAGGCAGCAGCAGGGAAUCUUCCGCAAUGGGCGAAAGCCUGACGGAGCGACGCGGCGUGUGUGAUGAAGGUCUUCGGUUCGUAAAACUCUGUUAUUAGGUAAGAACAAAUGUGUAAGUAACUAUGCCGUUCUUGACGGUACCUAAUCAGAAAGCCACGGCUAACUACGUG